rnacentral:rRNA from 1 species
GAUACCCUAUUAUUUUGAAUGUGAAUUUAGGAUCCUUAAUUAUUAAUAGCUAUGUUCUUAAAAGUUAAAAGAUUUGGCGGUAUUUUAGUCUGUUCAGAGGAACCUGUCUCUUAAUCGAUAGUCCACGAUUAGCUUUACUUUGGCUUAAAAUUUAUAUAUCGUUGUUUGUAAAAAUUUUAGGAGAGUAAUAAUUUUUAGUAUACUUGAUUAAGUUGUAUUUCAGAUCAAGGUGUAGUUUAUGCUUGAGAUGGGAUGGGUUACAAUAUUGUUAAGUGUGGUCUUUGGUUUUAAAAUCUAAGGUAAAAUGGAUUUGAUAGUAAAGGUGAAAUUUUUACAGUUUGAUUUAGCUCUAAAAUAUGCACACAUCGCC